CCUUGGUGUGUGCCUCCGGUCCGCCUCCGGUCCCUCCUCUCCGACUUAUACUAAUCUUGGAGACCUCAGCCGCCGCUCCCGUCCGCGCCGUCUUCCGUCCGUCACCGCCGAUCAGCCGCUCUCGAGCCGCCUAUGCAGCUCCUCUCCUCUUCAGCGGCACCCGCGGCUCCUCAACCGCUCUCCCACGAGCCGCUGAUCAGCCUAGGAGAAAAGUGCAAGCCAGGGUCACAAUAUGAGACGAGGAUGAAGUGCAGGCGACUGCAGGGGACCAUGGGUAGCGCCAGGAAGUGCACGUUGUAGGCACUGUGAUGUCAUCUGUCCCAACAGCCGGUAUGAGGGAGUGGUGGUUCUUCACAUU